UGUACAGUUGGUAGGUAGGUCUGAAGCUAACAAUGAUGCUUUCUUCUUCCCAAAGAGAACACACAGAACCAAAGACCAUCAGAUCAACCAGUCGGCCAAGCAGAAGAUAUAGCAGCAGAUGGGAAGGAGUCAUCUUCUUAGGAAACUCCCUGCAACACCAGAGAGCUGCUCGGUUGAGAUGCUCACAAGGAAGAGCUGAAGCAAGUCUAGGCUGGGGAUCACCUGGGAGGAUGUGGAAGACAGCUAAGAUGGCACAAGUGCUUCCUGUAAGCUGGUCACUCUUCAGGAAUGAUCAAUAGACGUGAAACUGUUAUUGGAGGAGAAAGAUCAAUGAUGGCUGAGUAUGAAUGACAAUAUCCCUGGUACUCUGUCUCUUAACUGUCAUUUUCUAUUUUCUUUUUAAAAACAAAGUUAACUCAUUC
rnacentral:lncRNA from 1 species